UAAAGGAUGUCUUCCAAAGGUUCGGUGCUGUUAAGUGUGUUGACUAUCAUGAGGGAGCAGCUUCAGGUUGCAUUCAUUUUCAAGAACCAGAAGGAGCUAUAAAAGCCUGUGCUGCUGCAGAAUUUAUUGAAGAAGGUCUCAUUGUGAAGAAUUUCUUUGUUUCAUUUGAAGCAGUUAUUGCUAAGACUGAAGAGGAGCACUGGAAUAUGCAUGAUCUUAAGGAGGAAGGUUGCCAGGAAAGUAGAGAUGAUAGAAAACGGAAACACAAAUCCAGUAAAUGUGGAGGACAAUCUGAAGGCAGAAGCUCCCACUUAAAAGAGAGGAAAGGCUNNNAUAAAGGUGGAAGACGGUCUGAAGGCAGAAGCUCCCACUCAAAAGAAAAUGAUUAUCCAACCCAGCGGCCAACAAAAGCUCAGAAGGUCACAACUGUUUAGGAUUUUAAUGAGGUCUUAAAUUUUUAGAAAUCAUUGCCCAUGAAUGCAAUUUUGCAAACAGUUGUCGAUCAGUAGCACAAUUUAUCUUAAGAAAACAAAUUUAUGUCAGGCAUUUUGUCUAAGCAUUCAUCAAAUGUCAAGUAUGAUCUUACAGGAGUUGCUUUGACAAAAUGCCUCAUUAAAAUCCUAAACAGUUGUGACC
rnacentral:misc_RNA from 1 species